GUUGCCGAGUUUGGUCAAAGGCGAUGGACUCAAGAUCCAUUCCUGUAGAGGUUCAGGGGUUCAAAUCCCUUCCCCGCCACCA
rnacentral:tRNA from 1 species